CCUUCCAUCUGCUUUUGGCUGGUGGAUGCAUCUGCCUGAAUUUGAUUUGAUGUCAAAAUUGGAACCAUAAUGAGUGACUGGGACAGCUCUGGGAACUGAAAAACAAAGAAUGAAAUGUUUUGAAAUAAUCUGAUACUUUGCCAGUCUGUUUUUAAUGAAAAUAUUUUAAUCAAGGCUUUUUAAUUUAAAAAAAAAACAUCAAGUAGACUUAGUAUGAAUUAAUUCUCCUUUAGAUGAUUAAGGAAAUGCAAAUGAUAGGGCCCAUCUGACUACCCAGAUAACCAAGGAGCCAAAGGUGGUACAUGUGAAGUUAUACAAAAUGACAAUGUUUGAAAGGUCCUGGAUGAUGAUUAGCUAAGAUGGUGUCCUUGGCAGGUAGACAGGGCAGCCUGGAAAGGCAUCCUAAUGUCAGAAGAGUUUUUAAAAAUUUCCCACUGCUGGUGCCUCCCUGUCCCACAGAGUCCUCAACAGCCACCCUGAUUCCUGAGGUGCAGGGAGGACCAGGUGAGGGUCAUGGGCCUCAGGGUCUGGAAGAAGCAGCCCUGUUGGCUGCACUGUGAAUUGACCCAUCUCUUUUUGUUGGAUUUAUUCCCCGAUUCUCUGGCACCUCCAGGGUUUUGGGGGAGCGUAUCUUGCUCACAGACCCAGAUGAACAUGUCUGUCUGAUAAAAGUCCCGGAUUCAGGCGACUCUAGUUUUUUUUUCACCCCAAUUUCUGAUUUUUGGAAGCAGAAUAAUAUCCACACUAUCGCCUAGGUGAUGGGCUGGAAGAUGCAUCAUGAGCUGUUCUGGAAUAAGAUCAUCCUUGAUCGUCACUGGAGAAAAUGAGACGUUCCAUUAACAGCAAGGAAACAGCAGGCCUGGGCAGCUUGGAGGUGAACUGACAUCUUCCCCUGGGUACCAGUUUCUUUGGGCUGCUGUCAUAAAGUACCAUGACUGGGGCAGCUUAGCAUGACUGAAAAAUACUUUCUCCCAACUCUGGAGGCCAGAGGGCCAAAAUCCAGGUGUUGGCAGGGCUGGUUCUUUCUGGUGGCCCCAAGGAGGAAUAUGCUCCAUGCCCAUCUCCCGACUUCAGCAGGCUGCUGGCCGUCCUUGGCAUCCCUUGGCUUGGAGACACAUUGCUCCAUCUUGGCUUCUGUUGCCACAUGGUGUUCUCCUCUCUGUAUGUCUGUGUCCACGUCUCCCUCUCUUUAUAAGGACACCAGUUGUCGGGGUAGGGCCCAUCCUACUCUGAUGCGACCUCACCUUAACUUGGUUACAUCUGCAAUGGCCCUACUUCUAAAUAGGGUCACAGUCAUUCCUUUGAGGGGUUGGGAUUUGAACACAGAUGUUUGUCUGAGUUGAACAGUUCACCCCAGCCAGCACAUGGCCUUCUCCACAGUUUUCUGGACUUAGAGCUCCGCUUGGCCUUCCUCUCUCCGGUUAGUCCUGUCAGACCUGCCCAUUCUAGAUCUUUCCUACCUUCCUUCCCCUCUUUUAUCUCAGGUCCACCUUACUGCUGGUGUCCUUAUCUUUGCUAAAAGGACCAUGAUUUGUACCUGGCUUUUGAUGUCUGCUGCUUGUGGAACAAAGCACGACAGUCCUUUGGCAUUCCUAAACUUGACAUUUAUGAUUUCAGCUAUUAGAAAGUAAGUGGGACGCACAGACCAAGAAGAAAUUUGUAAUUGGGGGGCUUUCUUUCUUUCUUUUUUAUUUGACAGCUGCACCUAUGACAUAUGGAAGUUCUCUGGUCAGGGGUUGAUUCAGAUAGGCAGCUGCCCACCACAGCCACAACAACACAGGAUCCAAGCCAUAUCUGUGACCUGUGCUGCAGCUCGCAGCAAUGCCAGAUCCUUAACCCACUGAGCAAGGCCAGGGUUUGAACCUGCAUCCUCACAGAGACAAUGUCAUAUCCUUAGCCUCCUGAGCCACAGCAGGACAUCCUGGGGGCGUACUUCUUAACUGAGUGGUUGUAGAGUCUCCUAGAGCUGGUGAGUGAGGCCAGCCUGGCCCACUGCUGCUCUAGUCACGGCUUCAAUAGUAUCUCUCCAUUUAUUUUUGGAGAACAUUGUCCAUUGAGAGAGAAAAUAGAUGUUCAUGAAAUGCUGCCAGGGUGUUGGAGCUUGGCAGGAAGUACAGCAGCCCAGAUAAAUAUUUUUGGAUAUGUUUAAAUUUGGAGAUUCUUAAAGAUCUCAUCACCAGCAUGUUUUUUCUAAAAAUAUUACUAGCCGGAGUUCCCAUCGUGGCUCAGUGGUUAACGAAUCCGACUAGGAACCAUGAGGUUGCGUGUUUGAUCCCUGGCCUUGCUCAGUGGGUUAAAGAUCCAGCGUUGCCGUGGGCUGUGGUGUAGGUUGCAGAUGUGGCUCAGAUCUGGCAUUGCUGUGGCUCUGGCAUAGACUGGCAGCUAUGGCUCCAAUUCGACCCCUAGCCUGGGAACCUCCAUAUGCCGCAAGAGCAGCCCAAGAAAUGGCAAAAAGACAAAAAUAAAUAAUUAAUAAAAAUAUUACUAGCUGGAGCUUUAAUGUAUAAUGAUAGAUAAAAAUGAAUAAGCAGGUUCCUCAAGGACUUAUAGAGAUUUUGUUGUUUUUCAGUUUGGUGAGAGAGAAAUUUCUAACUUAGCAUUCAAAAAAGGAAGAAGCCUAUUUUAGCAGAAUGGCCUGAAGAAGCCACCUCCUCCCUCCUGCCCAGGACCCUGGCACCGGUGCCACUGGGCACAGUACUCUUGGCAGGGGUCAGGGGGUCUGCUGAAUGUGAAGGUUAAUGGCACCUUCAGGGCCAGGGAGCAGCCCCUGUGCCCCUGUCUGUCUGGUUCUGAGGAGAACAGGUGACAUUUGGGUGAUAGAACAGCCUCUGCGUCCUGUGGCUACCCCUCCUGACCACAGCAGCCCCUGACCAGGGCUCCAACCUUUUGUUUUCCCCUGCUCCUUCCUUCUUUCCUUCUUUCCUCUCUCUCUUGCUUUCUCUCUUGCUAUUUCUUCCUCCCUCCCCCCCUCCUUCCUGCCUUUCUUUCUUUUUUUCUCUUUAGGGCCACACCUGAAGCAUAUGGAUGUUUCCAGGCUAGGGGUCAAAUCAGAGCUGCAGCUGCUGGCCUCCAUCACAGCCACAGCAAUGCAGAAUCUGAGCUGCAUCUGCGACUUACACCACAGCUCAUGGCCACGCUGGAUGCUUAGCCCACUGAGUGAGGCCAGGGAUUAAACCCAUUCUCACUGACACUAGUCAGGUUCUUAACCUGCUGAGCCAUGACGGGAACUCCUCCCCUGCUUCUUUCUGUCUGAGCACAGAGAACUCUUGACCGAUUCCAUCUCUCUGGCUCUCUCAUAGGCUUCUCUCCUUUAAGAGUCCAAAUGGGUGUUUUAUCUUCCUUAGGGAUAUAAAAUUUGGUAACAUUCAAUAAAUCAAAAAUUUUUUUCUUAUUAAAGUGUAGUUGAUUUACAGUAUUGUGCCAGUUUCUGCUGUCAGCAUAGUGACCCAGAUAUAUAUAUAUAUACACAUAUGUAUAUGUAUGUGUGUGUGUGUAUAUAUAUAUAUUCUUUUUCUCAUAUUCCAACAUGGUCUAUCUCAAGAGAUUAGAUAUAGUUCCUUGUGCUGUAUAGUAGGACCUCAUUGCUUAUCCAUUCUAAAUGUAGUAGUUUGCAUCAAAUAAUUUUUUAGCCAAUCCAUGCCAACCAGUAUAAAUUUGAGUUGGAUUUACAAAAACUUUUUUUUUUUUUUUUUUUUUUUUGUAUUUUCUAGGGCCAUACCUGAGGCAUAUGGAGGUUCCCAGGCCAGGGGCCAAAUCGGAGCUAUAGCCGCCGGGCUACACCACAGCCACAGCAACACAGGAUCCGAGCCAUGUCUGCGACCUACACCACAGCUCACGGCAAGGCCGGAUCCUUAACCCACUGAGCAAGGCAAGGGAUCAAACCCACAACCGCAUGGUUCCUAGUUGGAUUCAGUAACCACUGAGCCACGACAGGAACUCCUACAAUAACUUUUAAAUCAAACAUGGAGCAGCCCAAGAAAUGGCAAAAAAGACAAAAAAACAAAAAACAAACAAACAACAAUACAUACUAUGUAGCUUAUAGUAUAUAAAUAUAAUCUUAAGAGUGUUAUAGAUAUGAGAGAAAAAUAUAUAUGUAUUUCCACCACUCCACCUGUCAGUUGAGUGAGGUACAUCCUAGGUGGAAGACAGUAGAGCAGUGUUCUUCAACCCCAACACUGCUGAUGUUUUGCAAGAGUAACUUUGUCCUGGGCAUUGAAGGGUUUCCUGGGCAUUGCAGAUACUCACCUGAUGCCCGUAGCCCUCCCCCACCCAGCUGUGGUGACAACAAGUGUGUCCACACAUCACCAGAUGUCCCAUGGAAGACAAAAUUGCCUUUGGUCAAGAACCACUGCUCUACAGUGAUUGUAUAUUUAUCAAGUUUUCCAUAUAUAUUCUAAGAUAUUUUAUCAUAUGUAUUUAUUACUUUGUUAUUUAGUACCUAUAGAUUCAUGAAUAUAAUAUCUUUCUCAUGGCUUUUACAAAAUUUUACUGGAGUAUAGUUGACUUAUAAUGUAUUAGUCUCAGGUGUACAGCAAAGUUAUCAGUCAUACAUAAACAUAUAUUCAUGCUUUUUUCCAAUAUAUGUUAUUAUGAACUAUUGAGUAGAUUUCCCUGUGCUGUACAGUAGGUGCUUGCUAAUCAUCUAUUUUAUACAGUAGUGUAUAUAUGUUAUUCCGAGCCUCCUACUUCAUCUCCCCCCCAACAGUCUCAUGGCUUUUUAUCAAAUUACCGUGUGACUUUUUAAAACAUUAAAUUACAUAUUAAUCUUUUAUUAAUCUUGCCAUUUCUUCAUCUUUUGUUUAUAUUUCCCUGGUAAAUUACUGCCCAGCCCUUUAUUUUCAACCCAUUUAUAUAGUUUAUGUUUCACCAUUUCCAGAUGAAACUUAUAACUCUACUGAACUGGGAAACCUGAAUCUGCCUUGAUGGUAUUUCUCUCAGCAAAGGAGGUGUUGUGUUAUCAGUCAGCUUCCCCUUUUCAGUGUAUUGAUAUUGAGCUGUGUUUUGGGAAAAACUGAGAAACCUGUGUCCCACGAUUUUCUGUGCUGAAGCAAUGCACUUGUUGGACCGUAAGAACACAGUACACAUAGUAUUCUUUCCAGCUGUGUCCUGUGCAAAGUUGGAUGCUGCUAGUGAAAAAGAAGAUUCUUUCUUCCUAACUCUGUGCCUUAGACACUUGGUUUCUGAGUUGAUCUGUAAGGACACCAGGAUGGGGAUGGAAGUGCCCCACCCAGGUCCAGCCCACACCUGGCCUACCUGCUUCUGAUGUUGUGGUUAUUGCACCAAGCUUCUGAGAAUAUAGCCUCCAGAAAUGAGCAGAGCUUCCUGGUACUGCAGAUACUUGUGAAAAGCUUCUUUUGUGUCUGGAAUGCACCAGAUAGGGAGUGCUCUGUAAACAUUCAGAAUCCUUGAGAAGAGACUGUAAGUUAUAGUUUAACAUUCACUCUCUCUAACAGAGGAGACCAAUUCCAGAGGCUUAAAGUGUAAAGACGAUAGCAAAAUAUUUGGUUAACUCAGUUUGGGGUGAUGAAUUGGAGGUGCCAUUCCUGGCCCCACCAGCCCGGAAGGGUCCACCUCCUCUGCAGAGACUGGCUGCUGCCCACUCAUCUGUCAUUUUGCUCAAUUGUCACCUACACAAAGCCUUUCUUUCUUCUCCCCCAGGCAGUGUUAAUGGCUUCCUCCUCAGCUGCCCUCAGCCCUUUGUGUGUGCUAUUUUUAGAACAAGCAAACUCAUUCUAUAAUGAUUUGUUUAUUAAUCUGUCUUUCCCAGGAGGUGAUGAGCUCCUGGAUUCUGGAACUAGGGCCUCAUCGUUUUUUUUUAUACACCAUCUCCUUCCACUGAAUACAUCUUUGAGUUAUUUUUGGGUCUUUCUGAGCUCCUUUUGGUGAUUCCCACCAUCACAAACUCCAAACUUUACUUGGGUCAAGUGCCUCAAGAUAUCAGGAGAGCCAAUGUGUGCAGCUUCCUGAGUGUGUGGGGCUCUCUUUAUGGUUUGGAAUGCAAACGUCAAGCCACCCCCUUGCUCUUCUCUGGGUUAACCCUUCUUCAUUCUCGAGAUAGUUAGGAGUGCACCCCUGGUGUCCCUAUAGUAGGCCAUGCUUUCCCAGCAUGUGAUUUCAGCACAUGCUGUUAUGACCGUCUGCCUGUGUGUCUGCUUGUAGACCCUAGGCUCAAAGAUCCGUGAGCAGGUUGGUAUUCAGUAAAUAUUUGCUGAUUAUUUCUUACAAAAGUCAUGUAAUGGACCAGGAAAUUUUGUAAUAGAAUAGAAGGGAUUUGCAAUCUGGGAGUUCUCCUCGUGGCUCAGCAGGUUAAGAACCUGACUAGUAUCCAUGAGAAUGAGGGUUUGAUCCCUAGCCUCGCUCAGUGGGUUAAGGAUCUGGCGUUGCUGUGGCUGUGGCAUAGUCUGGCAACUGCAGCUCUGAUUCUAUCCCUAGCCUGGGAACUUCCACAUACCACAGGUGUGGCCCUAAAAAAAAGAAGAGUUCAAGUCUGAAACUAGAAAACCUGUGUUCUUGUCCAGGUUCUGCUGUUUAUGCAUAGGGAAGAA
rnacentral:lncRNA from 1 species